rnacentral:rRNA from 1 species
UUCCGGUUGAUCCCGCCGGACCUGACUGCUAUCGGAUUGAUACUAAGCCAUGCGAGUCUUUGUAGUAAUACAAGGCAUACGGCUCAGUAACGCGUAGUCAACCUACCCUAUGGACAAGAAUAAUCUCGGGAAACUGAGCAUAAUUCUUGAUAGAUCAUAAUGCCUGGAAUGGUAUAUGGUUAAAAUGAUUCGUCGCCAUAGGAUGGGACUGCGGCCUAUCAGCUUGUUGGUGAGGUAAUGGCCCACCAAGGCGAUUACAGGUACGGGCUCUGAGAGGAGAAGCCCGGAGAUGGGUACUGAGACAAGGACCCAGGCCCUAUGGGGCGCAGCAGGCGAGAAAACUUUGCAAUGUGCGAAAGCACGACAAGGUUAGUCCGAGUGAUUUCUGCUAAAGAGAUCUUUUGCUAGUUAUAAAACCACUAGUGAAUAAGGGGUGGGCAAGUUCUGGUGUCAGCCGCCGCGGUAAAACCAGCACCUCAAGUGGUCAGGAUGAUUAUUGGGCCUAAAGCAUCCGUAGCCGGCUCUGUAAGUUUUCGGUUAAAUCUAUGCGCUCAACGUAUGGGCUGCCGAAAAUACUGUAGAGAUAGGGAGUGGGAGAGGUAGACGGUACUCGGUAGGAAGGGGUAAAAUCCUUUGAUCUAUCGAUGACCACCUGUGGCGAAGGCGGUCUACCAGAACACGUUCGACGGUGAGGGAUGAAAGCUGGGGGAGCAAACCGGAUUAGAUACCCGGGUAGUCCCAGCUGUAAACGAUGCAGACUCGAUGAUGCAUUGGCAUAUAGCCAGUGCAGUGUCGCAGGGAAGCCGUUAAGUCUGCCGCCUGGGAAGUACGUACGCAAGUAUGAAACUUAAAGGAAUUGGCGGGGGAGCACCACAAGGGGUGAAGCCUGCGGUUCAAUUGGAGUCAACGCCGGG